UACGGGGGGAGCAAGCGUUGUUCGGAUUUACUGGGCGUAAAGGGCGCGUAGGCGGUCAGCACAAGUCAGUUGUGAAAUCUCCGGGCUUAACUCGGAAAGGUCAACUGAUACUGUGCGACUAGAGUGCGGAAGGGGCAACUGGAAUUCUCGGUGUAGCGGUGAAAUGCGUAGAUAUUGCUCGGAAGGCCAGAGGCGAAGGCGGGUAACUGGCACGCAACUGACACUGAGGCACGAAAGCGUGGGGAGCAAACAGG
rnacentral:rRNA from 1 species